UGUUGGAUCGCUUCCUGGCCACACGCGACGCGAGGAGAGGAACGCUUCGCUGGCGGCACGAGGUGGCGGCGUGGCGGCGCGAGGUGACGGCAUGGCGGCGUAGUACAUCUUCGACGGCCACCACCGCGACAAUGACUGCCGCCUUCUCGCUGAUCCCACCAGCACCAUUAAGAGUUGGGGAAGGUGAACCACCCCCUUCUUCUUGGGAUCCGGUACCAACUCCAAUAGUUCUGCAAUGAAUAUCUCAUUGAGAGAUCGUAUUAGAAAGAGGAGGGAGGAAGAAGAUGAUGACAUGAUGAUGUUUCUAUUCCCUGCCUUAUAUCUGAUGGGUUCUGCUAGAGAAGGAGUAAAGAAGAAACGUCAUACAUCAGAAGAAACAGGAGAGGUUAAGGUUCGUCGACUCCUUGAGGGACAUAUCAAGAACUGUCAAGUUACAUUUAGGAUGGAACCCCACAUCUUCAAAGAGUUGGCGACUUAUCUUAGAAGGAAAAGACUCGUUGUUGAUAUAAGGAUUACGGUGGAGGAGAAGUUAGGUUUCUUCCUAUACAUGUUAAGUCGCAACGCCUCAUAUGAGGAUCUUGCAGUGACCUUUGGGCACAGCAACGACACCUUCCAUCAUCACAUCAACCACUUCUUCACAUCAACCUCAUAUGAUGAUUGAAUUAUUUAUCCUAAUUUUUAUAUGGGGUUGCUGAAUCAGGCGAGCCCAUUAAUUAGUAACACAUCUUGUCGGCGGGUCAACCGUGUUAACGUGCAUGCUACUUGCACAACUGUAUUAUACUCUGACGUUUUCUGCCUACAAAUAGCGCAUCUUCAUUGCUAUCCCAACAUGCACUUCUUCUCCUCUCCAUCUCUUCCUAUAGCUAUAGCUGCAACAACUAGUCCUGAUCACCAUGGCUGCCGCGAUGCUCAAGAUGGCCAUUGUUGCCGCCUGCAUCGCGCUGGUCCUGCUCUCCAUGGGUCCGCCGGGGGCGAUGGCUGACAUCCAGGACGACUGCCGCGCGACUUGCCGUGGUCUCUGCGAUGGCUUCGGUACGAACACGUGCAAUUCCGUCAUUGGCAUCGCCCCUGCUGUCCUGAACAAUGUCAACUUCUUCUUCACGACGUGCAAAGUGAGGGUCUCUGGGCUGUGCACGCCCCUCUGCGUCAAUACCUGCAGCCUCAACACCGUGACGCCGGCCAGCCCGCCGCCACCACCAUGCAAGCCAUAAUUGGUCCAUGCGUAUUACUGCAGCAUGAAUGUCUCAAGUAAUUCAAGUCCCGGCCGUAGAUCCGGGCAUUUGCGUUCCAUUUUAAUUUCCCUUUAAUUGUGGUGUCACCAAGUACUAGUCAUCAUUGUGCACACCUCUAUAUGUAAUUUUAUUUGAAAAGAUUAUUACCUAUCUUGAGAAAUUUACUGCUAUUAUUUAUUUUUACCA